AUUGAACGCUGGCGGCAGGCCUAACACAUGCAAGUCGAGCGGAUGAUGGGGGCUUGCUCCCGGAUUCAGCGGCGGACGGGUGAGUAAUGCCUAGGAAUCUGCCUGGUAGUGGGGGACAACGUUUCGGAAGGAACGCUAAUACCGCAUACGUCCUACGGGAGAAAGCAGGGGACCUUCGGGCCUUGCGCUAUCAGAUGAGCCUAGGUCGGAUUAGCUAGUUGGUGGGGUAAAGGCCUACCAAGGCGACGAUCCGUAACUGGUCUGAGAGGAUGAUCAGUCACACUGGAACUGAGACACGGUCCAGACUCCUACGGGAGGCAGCAGUGGGGAAUAUUGGACAAUGGGCGAAAGCCUGAUCCAGCCAUGCCGCGUGUGUGAAGAAGGUCUUCGGAUUGUAAAGCACUUUAAGUUGGGAGGAAGGGCAGUAAGUUAAUACCUUGCUGUUUUGACGUUACCAACAGAAUAAGCACCGGCUAACUUCGUGCCAGCCGCCGCCGUAACAC
rnacentral:rRNA from 1 species